ACCUCUUUUUGUGCAGCACAUCAAUCUCAUCAUUAUAUCAUCAAAUAAGUUGACAUUUUUCUUUGCAAGGCAUUCUACAGCUGAUUAGUAUAAUUUAAAUGAUGAAAAAUAUGUGGAAAAUACAAGUAUUUGAUGUUCUUGAACUGUGAUUCAAAAGUUAACUGGGUUCAAAUACAGUAUCUCUAUCUCUGCCUCUGCCCUCAUCUCUAAUAAAUAAGUGCAAUAUUUCAGUUUAUUCAUUAUGACUGACAUCAUGAAGGCUCCUCCAACUAUUCUCUCACAUCAUUUAUAUAUCUCUUUUCAUACAUCUUCUGAAUUUAACAUGGAUGUUGAUCAGUUUGAAGAACAAAAUAUGUUGAAGUCUUCUUCAAUUAUUUCUCUGUGUUAAUGUAUCAUUACAGUUUCAUCACAAUCAACAGC
rnacentral:sRNA from 2 species